UAUUAUAUGGUUUUGUAAAUAUUCUGCUAAUAUGUAUCUAUAUUUUUCCACAGUGAUAUUUAUGUAAUUAUUUUUAUUAUAGUAAAUAUGUAUAAAGCACCUAAAAAAAAAUUUGUUUCUAAACGCCAAAGUAGACGUAUUAUUGCAAAUAAUACAGAAAUAGAUAUCGCUGGCUGUUCACAAUCAAUUUUAGAUGUAUAUACUAUCAAUAUUUCUGAACCUACUUUUGAUUUAAAUAUUCAUGAUGAAACAGCUAAAGACUUCAAUAUUAGUAAUACGCUUAAUAAUAAUACAUUACUUAUUGACUGUACAAUUUCAGAGGACAAUAAUAAGUAUCAACAUUGUGAUGUCCAAGUAAAUUGCGAUAAUCAAGUAAAUAGCGAUAAUCAUAACUCUACAAUUUUUUCUAUGACAAAUCAAAAUCAAAAUCGCAGGCCUAUUACAAAAGAAAUAGAAAAAACUUGUGACAAUAAUGAUGACAAUAAAUUUAGAAAUGAUAUAGCUACAUGGUCCGUGUCUUAUAAUAUUCCUCACAGUGCAUGUAAUGCAUUAUUAAAAAUUUUGAGACAAUAUACAUCGUAUAAUUUACCUAUGGAUACUCGAACAUUGUUACAAACUCCAAAACAAACAAAUAUAGUACAACUAUGUGGAGGAGAAUAUUUUCAUUUUGGUAUACACGAUAUUAUUACAAAAAUGCUGUUAAAAAAUAAUGAUAAAUAUUUUAAUUUAAUUAUACAUAUUGACGGUCUGCCACUAGCAAAAUCAUCUCAAGCAUCCUUCUGGACCAUUCUAUGUUCUAAUACAGUUAAUAAAACAGUAUAUCUUGUCGGUGCAUACUUUGGAUAUGAAAAACCUAAUAAUUCCAAUAUUUUUCUGCAGGCUUUGGUUAACGAUUUACAUGAUUUAAUUAAUAAUGGUUAUAUUAAUAACGGAAACGUAAUUAAUAUCUCGUUAUUUGCUUUAAUAUGUGAUGCACCGGCUAAAUUUUUUGCACUGUGUAUUAAAGGUCAUACUGGAUUUUAUAGUUGCACUAAAUGUUUGGUUAAAGGUAAAUAUACAAAUGGUAGAAUCUGUUUCCCAUAUGAAAAGAAUUAUCCUCUAAGAACAGAUGAAUUGUUUGCACUUAAUGCCUAUCAAAAUUUUCAAAUUAGUUUUUCUAUUUUAAAUAAUAUUCCAAAAUUUCUACCAUUAACUAACACACCGUUAGAUUAUAUGCACCUGAUAUGUUUAGGAGUUAUGAAGAAAAUGAUAUUACUUUGGAUGAAAGGUCCACUUUCAGUACGCUUAAAUACAAGAUCGAAAAAUAAAAUAUCGCAUUUACUAAUUUUACUUCGAAACACUACACCUGCAGAUUUUGCUAGAAAACCGAGAUCAUUGAAAGAUGUUAUGCAAUGGAAAGCCACAGAAUUUAGAAAUUUUUUAUUAUAUACAGGUCCUGUAGUCUUGAGAAACAUAUUACGUGAAAAAAUAUAUAUUCAUUUUCUCACUUUACAUGUGGCUAUUACAAUUCUUACACGUAACAAUUUUUGUCAAGAAAAAUUGAUAAAUUUUGCAGAAGCUUUACUUAAUUAUUUUGUUGAAUCUUUUGAAAUAUUAUACGGAAAACAAUAUAUAUCGCAUAAUGUACAUAAUCUGUUACACUUAUGUUCAGACGUAAGAAUGUACGGUCCUCUAGAUAAUUUUAGUGCUUUUAAAUUUGAAAAUUAUAUGACAUUUAUUAAGAAAAGAUUACGAAAACAUGAUAAAUCAUUGCAACAAUUAUUUAACAGAUGUAAUGAGAUUGAAAACCAUAAUUCUUUAUUGGUAGAACAUGAUAAUAUACAGCCAUAUUCAUGUAAAUAUUUGCACAACAAUGGUCCACUACCUGAAAAUGUAGAUGUUCAUUUGCAGUACUUUAUGAUAUCAAAUGGAAAAUUUAUUGUUAAUUGUAAAAGUUUUGCUAAUAAUUGCUGCCUAUUAAAAAACGGUACAUAUGUUCUGAUUGUAAAUGUUAUACAAACCAAAGAUAAAGAAAUUUUUUUGGUUGGGAAAAAAUUAAAAUAUAUAAUAGACUUAUAUAAAUCGCCAUGUCCAUCCAGCGAUUUUGAUAUUAAAAUAAUGACAAUAUGUAAUGAUAACGUUUAUUCUUGGCCAAUGCCAGAUGUUCUGUGCAAAGCGUGGAAAAUGUCUUAUGAAAAUGAUACAAAUACUUUUAUAAUUUUCCCAUUGAAUCAUGAAAUGUAAUUUGGUGCGUUACAUAAUAUAUAUAUUUCUAUAAUAAAAUAUAAUACAUAUUUCUAGUACUAUAUAUCACCUCCUACGUUGUGUAUAGUCUUCCAUACAGUCCUCCAUACAGAAAGAUGGAUAAUAAUAAAUUUAUAAUUGCGGAAUUUGAUGACGGCCUGCAAUUGAUAUCUUCAACAUGGUUCAACGGAGAUAUAUUAACAAGUAUUUGGCCUAGCCAUUUCAAAACAAAAUAUCGAAUUAACAAAGCUAUAGUUACAAGAGAGAUGCCUCGAGACAAAUUAGAUUGGGAGGAACUGCCAAUAAAAAAAAUUUUUGGCAUUGCAAAUACUUACGAAGAAGGUUUGCAAAAAUUAGCGUUAGCGGAAGAUACAUCAAAUGUUGAUGAUGUUGGUGUAAGUUCGCUCGUCUAGCGAACUAAGAGAAAGAGAAAAAAGAGAAGGCAUAUGAGAGCCAGAAAAUAUGUGUCAUCCUCUUCUGAAGAAGAAGUAUAUUCUUAUCAUGAAAAAGAAAAUAUUGCAGAAAAAAUUCUACCUGCUCUUCCACAGAAACAAAAAUUUAUUUCGAAUGAUAAGGAGCUAUCGGGUACAUCUAUACACACGACUAGAAACGUAUUAUGUGAAAGCACAUUAUUUAAUGCAGUAAACACAAACGAUAUUACUAAUAACAAUAAAAUUGUUACAAAUAAUGACAUAUGUUUCCAAAUAAAUCCUGCCUCACAUACCGAAGAUGAAAAUCCAUAUACUUCAGGUAAGUUCAAAAAAUAUUUAUACUUUUUUUUAUAAAUAUCAUAUAUUAAUAAAAAGGCAUAUACUCGUAAAUAUAUUGUUACAAAUUUAGUUAAUAUAUAUAAUAGUAAACAUUAAUAUGUA